AUACUUACCUGGCAGGGGAGAUACCAUGAUCUCAAAGGUGGUUUUCCCAGGGCAAGGCUCAUCAGCCAUUGCACUCCAAUGUGCUGAUCCCUGCAAUUUCCUCAAAUGUAGGAAACCCAACGGCAUAAUGUGUAGCAGUGGGAGACUGUGUUCACGCUUUCCUCUG
rnacentral:snRNA from 1 species